GACCGAUCUGUUAUUUUUAAACAGAGGGGAAAAUCUGGCAAUGUAAAUAGAAAGUAUCUGUUUACAUAGGUUUUUUAGAAUUUGAUCUGAAAUUUUAGCAAGUUGCAGAAUGGGUUGUGAAGCACAACAUUUCAUCUCUUUGAUUCUAGACACUAUCCUCAGAAAUUAGAUUUGAAAAAUGAGCUUCAUUUUCGAAGAACAUAUUGAAUUUGUUAUCUCGAUUAUGGAGGGCGACAAGUCCCACAGUCUGCCAUCUGCAGGAUGGAGAACCAGGGGGAGAAUAAUUGACUCCAUUCAAGUGUUCGCUCCUGUUUCAAUCAACUAUGGCUGAAGAGUGAGGAGACAUUUGGAAUAAAUAUGGCUUCUGGGGGCCCAUUCCUAUGGAUCAGCAGCUGGCUUCUGGAGGCCCAUUCCUGUGAAUCGUCGAUCUCAUAGAAGAUAAUAUUGUUAGAAGGCUUACCUCAUUGAUGCUGAACAUCCUAAAAAGCUUCUGCUGCUUUGAGUCACUGAAAAAGACCAAGAAACAUGAAUUUAAAAAAAAAUUUCAAAUGUUAUAAAAUAAAUAAUAUGAACUCAUUAUACCUACAAUGAAUAA
rnacentral:lncRNA from 1 species